GGGUGAGUAACACGUAUGCAACCUGGCCGUCACAGGUGGAUAACCGGAAGAAAUUCCGACUAAUACAGCAUAACACUCCUGAGGGACAUCCUUCGGGAGUCAAAGGAGGCGACUCCGGUGACGGAUGGGCAUGCGGCGCAUUAGGUAGUUGGUAGGGUAACGGCCUACCAAGCCGACGAUGCGUAGGGGUUCUGAGAGGAAGGCCCCCACAUUGGAACUGAGACACGGUCCAAACUCCUACGGGAGGCAGCAGUGAGGAAUAUUGGUCAAUGGCCGGAAGGCUGAACCAGCCAAGUCGCGUGAGGGAAUAAGGCCCUAUGGGUCGUAAACCUCUUUUGUCAGGGAGCAAAGGCGUCCACGUGUGGACGAGAGGAGAGUACCUGAAGAAAAAGCAUCGGCUAACUCCGUGCCAGCAGCCGCGGUAAUACGGAGGAUGCGAGCGUUAUCCGGACUUAUUGGGUUUAAAGGGUGCGUAGGCGGAGUGUCAAGUCAGCGGUAAAAUUUCGGGGCUCAACCCCGUCGUGCCGUUGAAACUGACGCCCUUGAGUGAGUGAGAAGUAAGCGGAAUGCGUGGUGUAGCGGUGAAAUGCAUAGAUAUCACGCAGAACGCCGAUUGCGAAGGCAGCUUACCGGCGCUCAACUGACGCUGAGGCACGAAAGUGCGGGUAUCGAACAGGAUUAGAUACCCUGGUAGUCCGCACAGUAAACGAU
rnacentral:rRNA from 1 species